AGUGAACGCUGGCGGUAGGCCUAACACAUGCAAGUCGAACGGCAGCACAGUAAGAGCUUGCCUUUACGGGUGGCGAGUGGCGGACGGGUGACGAAUACAUCGUAAUCUUCUUUUUCGUGGGGGAUUACGUAGGGCAAGCUACGAUAAUACAGCAUAUGACCCACGGCUGAACGCAGGGGAUAUUCGGACCUUUUGUGUUUGUACUAGCCGAUUUCGGACUAGUUGGUUGGGGGGGUAUAGGCCCACCAAGGCGACGAUGCGUAGCCGGUCUGAGAGGAUGGUCGGCGACACUGGAAGUGGGACACGGUCCAGACUCCUACGGGAGGCAGCAGUAGGGAAUGCUAGACAAUGGGCGGAAGCCUGACCGAGCCGGGCCGCGUGGGUGAAAAAGGCCUUCGGAUCGUAAAACCCUGUUAUUAGGGAAGAAAAGCUGUGGAUUUAAACACGGCUGUUUUGACGGUACCUAAUAAGAAAGCACCGGCUAACUACGUG
rnacentral:rRNA from 1 species